UUUUUUUUUUUUUUUGUCUUUUUGCAACAUUUUUCAUUUUAAAUCCUCCAGUUGGUUGCUGUUUUUUUGUUUUUUUGUUUUUUGUUUGUUUGUUUGUUUUGGUCUUUUUGGGGCUGCACCCAUGGCAUAUGGAGGUUCCCAGGCUUGGGGUUGAAUCGGAGCUGAAGAUGCCGGUCUAUACCACAGCCCCAGCAAUGAGGGAUCAGAGCCAUGUCUGCAACCUAUACCACAGCUCACGGCAAGGCUGGAUCCUUAACCCACUGAGUGAGGCCAGGGAUCAAACUGUCAUCCUCGUGGAUACUAGUCGGGCUCAUUAACCACUGAGCCAUGACGGAAACUCUUGGUUCCAUUUUAGACUGAAAUUCUUUCACAUGAUUAGGAUGCAAACAAAUGUGGAAUGCAAUGUUCAGAGAGUGGACGCCAUCCAGGUACCAGGAAAUUGGGGUGCUGCCAGAGUGGGACAGGAGUCAUGGUGUCCUGGGAAAUGAAGGGCUAACCGAAGUGGGGGCACACGACUGGGUGCCUACAGGACAGAAACUUAUAUACCACAGUCUGAAGCUGGGACGCCAAGAUGAAGACUGCUUUCUGGCUGUGGGGCAGAGAAAGGGAGCACAAUUUUCCCCUUCUCACGAGACCAGUCCUGUGGGAUCAGGUCUUAGGACUUCAUUGCACCUUAAAGGUCCUGUCUCCAAAAGCAGGUACAUUGGGGUGAGGGCUUCCACACAUGAACUUGGGGGGAAACCAUUCAGCCCCAGCAACCCUCUUCUCUUCAUUCAUUUCCUUCAGCCACUGGUUAUCUUUGCCUGACACCAGAUCCUCCCAGGAGGGGUGAUGAUGAUGGGGGGUCCCUGCUCAGCCCUGCCUCAGACCUCACUAACUGCAGAGGAUAUCAGAGUCACUGUGAAAGGGAAGGAGGGUGCGAUGGGGUAGCUCAGAGGUACCAAGAAACUUUUAGGAUGAAGGGCGGAAGUCAAGGAGGGCUUCUUGGAAGAGGUGGCAGGGCCUAGUACAGCUCACCACCUGGAGCUGCCAGAUCCCUCAAGAGCAGGGCUCUUCACUCCAGCUUCUUCACUUCCGCUGUGCUCAGCACAUCCUUGUUCUGUCAUACAUAUUGUUGGGAUGCAGUCAAGUGUAGCUCUGAUAUGUAGUGAUCCAAGAUAAAUAUUCACAUGGGGUAUGUGUGCUGGCCUGGCACCAGGAGCAGGCAGUGAACUUGGCCGUUCUUAUUCUCACUGAGUCCCUCCCAAGGCGAGUUCUCUGCCUGUCUCUCCACCAAUCUGUGUAAACACCACAAAUGCCAGCUGCUCUCACCCCGAGGGGUCCCAAUCUCCCUGUUUCAUAAACCACCAACCUGGAGCCAAGAGAGACUGUCCCGCCCAAAGGUGCCCAGCCCAGCUGGCUCGGAGCACAGACAGGGGAGAUGGAAAUGAGAAGGGCCGGGCCUCGCCUGGAACCAUAAAUCUGGAACAUGGCCUGCAGCUUCCUGAUGCAGAUGGGAAAAGGGAAACAGGUUAAAGGCUCAGGUGCAAACACAGCCUCCAUGCUGUACACAGCCCACCCCACACCUACCCCCACCUCUUUAUCCAGCUCCCACACACCUGCAUUCCACACUCUCCCAAAGCCUCCCAAACAAAGACAAGGGCUCAGUUUUCUGCUUCAUUUUGUGUCUGAGAGGUCUCAACCACUUCAAACAGCCAGAAAGCUCCAUUUUCUUGAUGCUUCUUCGCAGCAUGUGUGAGGGGCCAGCACAGAGCGCCCCUCCCAGGCCCUGGAUCUGGAGCAGUACCUCCUCCUCUGGUCCAGCCCAGCUCGGGGCUCCCAACACAGGUGCUGAUGCUGCACCCCCACCAUGGGCCUCACUUUGAAGGAAGAUGGGAAAAUCACCUGAGCAAAUGCUACCACAGGACCAAGGGUGGAAGAGGGGUACAGAAAGAAAUAAUAAAUAAUAAGAAAUAAGAAAUUCUCUCAAGUGCCAGAAAUAAAAGAGAAACUCAGAGCCAGAGGGGAAGCAGAUAAUUCAUUUUGCGGGAGGCACAGACAGAAUCCUGGGGCUCACGGUUGAAACUUCAGUGCCCCUUUCAUGCAGGGCUGAUGCUCCAAACAUUUGGCUACAGACACACAGAAGCACCUGGAAAAUGGUACCGGGACCACUCCAGGCCACAGCCUCAGUGAGGGCCUCCGUGCCCCCCAGCUGGUGUUCAGUGUGCCCCCUCUGCCCUUUCCCACUGCCCAGAGGAGACUCGCCUCCCUCCUCUACCCCCAGCCCUCCCAGCCCUGUCAGGGGAGGAAAGGGCCUCCCCUCAACCCUCACAAGGGAAUCCAGACAUUCAAGUGAAGUUAGCCCUUUGGCCAGUCCCCCAGCCCUUGCCCUGCCUCCACUGAGCCUUCCCCUCCCCCACUGCCCCACACCCACCACUGCUCAUUCCUCCUCAUCUAUUUCCUCUACAGCCCCCAGAAGUCUGGUCAUGCUCUCCCAUCAGGAGAGGUAAAUGGAUGGAUAGCAUAACGCUGUUUUGGAAGUUUUCUGCAUCUGACAGUGACUGCCCCUCCCUCCUCUCUAAGUGCGCCCCCCCACUCCCCCCGCCCCCGCCAUGGUUUUCUUCCUUCCUCUUUCAAAAGUCAUUGUUCUCUGGGAUUUUUAAAAAACUUUAUUUCCCCAGGGAUUUCAUUCACUACCAUGGUGUCAACCAGUCCACAUCAGCCAUGUUUGGAAACCAGUUCUGUAUCUGUCCCCUGAGAUCCAAGCCCACAUGUGUAAUGCCUCUGGGGACCUUGGAGGGAUCCCCAGACACUGAUGGUGCUCAGAUUCUGUGCAGAUCACCUGCCUCCCAGAGCCAACCCCUGCCUCUGCCACAGGCAAUACACUGGCUUAUGCUCAUGAAGUUUGGGGCCACAGGCCUAAGAAUUCAUGUCCUAAUGGGAGCAGCUUUUAACCAUGGCAUGAGGGCUGUUGGGGUGUGAAAAGCCCAGCUCCUCACCUCUGGCCUGGAUGAUUCUGGGGCUUAUCUUUUGCCCUGUUUCCAAAGUUUCCAUGGAAUUCAGCUCCACAGUCACCAGUGACCUUAUUAUCACAACUUUAUCUGCUUCCUCCCCCUCAAUCACUUCUCUCCUAGUUUGCCAUGUUUGCUCAGAUUCUUGGCUCACACUGCUUCUGGGGAAGCCCAAGGUGAGACAUUCCUUACCUGAAAACAUUUAUGCAACUCAGGCCAUUUCCCGGCAUCAGUUCCGCCCCCUGUUUAUCCUAUCUCAGUCCAUGACAUCACCUUUUAUCUAGUCCGAGCCAGAAAUCUGGGUCAUUCUGUCUCCUUCUGUGUCUGGUGGGCUUUUACUUCUUAAUAUUCCUUGAACCCAUGUCUCCUUUCAUCUCCCCUUAAUGCCCUUAGUUAAGACCCUAAUUAUUCCACCAGCUCUUUGUUGUCUUCCUGACUCCAAUCCUGCCCCUCUCCAUCACUGUCCACACUUCCCUGAGACUGUUUAUAAAACGGCAUUGAUUCCUUUAUUUUCUCUGCUUCAAAUAUUCUAAGGCCUCCCUGAUGCCUCAGGAGAAAACCAAAACUGUUGCAAUGACACUAACAGCUCAAGUUCACGUACACCUACCCCUGAUGUUGGCUUUAGCCUGUGGUCUCUCUAUGCUGCCAACCAGAGCACCUACCAAGAGUGAUGGCAACUGAUUGCUCAUCUGUCUCCCAACUAGAUGUUUGCAGGAAACCCCCACAGAGCUCAUUCCAUACUGCACCCAGGCCUCUCAAGAUCACAUGGCUGGUAACGGGAACCAGAUACAUAGUCUUAAAUCGGGGAACAAAAGAAUGAAUGAUUUUGGAGGUAAAGAACUCUUGCAUUUGCUUUGACCCAAUAUCUUCACCCCUUUGAUUUUUCACUUUCAGAGCUCAGCAGGAGGCUAACACGACUCUCCCAAGGUGCUGAAUAUACCCUUUCUUGCUUUCCCGGGCUCCCUUGCAGCUGGUUCUAUGACCAAGAUUCUGCCCACCAGACCUGGCACCCCAGGCAGGUGGGCCGGUGGGACUGAAGGUGGGGCCCAGGGUGAGACGGGCAGGGAAGAGGGUCCCAGUCUCUCUGUCUCUGUGUGUGCAUCUCUCUCUUUUUCUCUUUAUUGCUCUACCUCUGUCCUUGUUAUCUCUUAUUAUCUCCCUUUCUCUCUUUCUCCUCUAAUUCUAUUUAUUUCUCUCUGCCUCAAUCUCUCUUUUUAUUUCUCUCUCUCUGUCUCUCUUUAUUUCCAUGUCUCACUACCUCUCUGUCUCUCUCUGACUCUUUCUCUCUCUGUCUCUCCCUAUGCUUCUGUCUCUCUCUCUCACAGAGGUGCAGUGGAAGCAUCUGGAAGGUGCAUGUUGUGGUGCAGAUGGUGCUCUGCUGGUGGCACCAGCAGCAGUGAAAUCCAGCUCCUGGUGUCUCAACACAGUGGCCGCACCAUGGGGUCCUCCUCAGACCGGUUCUUUGGUGGAGGUUGGAUACUGCUCUGGAAGCUGAGCUUAUAGGCCAUAGUCUCUAGGCAUCCAGGGUUACUGUGCAUGACCCCAUAUCCUCUUAAACUCCUCCCUGGCUUAAUAGACCAGAGCUGCUUCUGAUGCCUGAAAAUAAUACUGACGGAGACAUUAAGAAAGCUGUCAAUAGUAUUACAAUGAAAAUCAAUGAUAAUUUUUUUAAUCUUUAAAAUUGAUGAGAACUUGAGACCUGCUUAGAGAUAAGCUA
rnacentral:lncRNA from 1 species